ACGUAUCUACGACGGGGCGGGCGUCCCGCUCCGGCUCCGAAAGGGCCGUGCAGCGGGCGCCUCCCCGCUCGACCUUCACAAACCCCACCGUGAACCUUUGCGGGCGGAAGUGGGCGAGAGCCCUCGGAAGCCCGCGCAUUUAAAACCCCAGUAAUUCGAAACGACGAGCGACCUCCGAGUCGCCCUAACACGAAA
rnacentral:misc_RNA from 1 species